rnacentral:rRNA from 1 species
UACGUAGGGUGCAAGCGUUGUCCGGAAUUAUUGGGCGUAAAGAGCUCGUAGGCGGUUUGUCGCGUCGAAUGUGAAAACCCGGGGCUCAACCCCGGGCCUGCAUUCGAUACGGGCAGACUAGAGUUCGGUAGGGGAGUCUGGAAUUCCUGGUGUAGCGGUGAAAUGCGCAGAUAUCAGGAGGAACACCGGUGGCGAAGGCGGCCGGCUGGGGGUGCCCUGACGCUGAGGCGCGAAAGCGUGGGGAGCGAUCCGG